rnacentral:lncRNA from 1 species
CUUUUCUUCAGUUCACUGUGGUUGCUUCAAAUGGCUUGAAGCUACUGAGUUAACAAAGUUAGACUUUCCUCAAUUUUUUAAUAUAUUAAAAUAAAAGUCUCCUCCACUAAAACAUUCACUAGAAUUAUCAAAUCUUCACCAGCGAAGUUUAGUCAUUAGAUAGAUGGAUGGGUUUCUACUCCUCCUAUCAUUUUUAAUUGUCAUGGAAUUACAUUUAUCCUCCCUAAACCAGUACAAUGUAUGCUUUUCUUGGUUCAGUUGAAAGGGAUGCAUCCAAGGAAAGAUAAGUUAUUCCUUUAUCACCAAAACAUUUAUUAAAUGUCUAUAUUUUUAGGGGGCAGUGCUGAGUGUUAUAAAUGGGAAUUAAUUAGGCUAAAUUCCUGCCUGUAUCUCUAUUACAACAGAAGAUAGACAACAACGAUGCAGGAAUUUUAAGGCCAUUCAUUCAACAUGCGGGAUGCGUUCAACAUGGGGAUGCAAACAGAUAAGUUUUUACCAUGAACAUUUGCAUCCUUGAGCACAGUAUAUUAGUGUACUGGGUGAAAAGGGUGAUGCACACCAUGUGAUUAAUUGCCACCCACCAAACAUGGUAAGAAAGAUCGCGGCCAAAAUCCUAUGACUUGACAGAGUGCUGUCCAAAUGAAAGCAUGAUAAGAAGGGGUAGGCACAGUGGUUUUUUUUUUUAAUCAUCCAUAUCCAAUCUCAGAAAUUACUAACAGAAAGGGAUUUCCAGCUUGCAUCUGCUUUACACAUUUUAAAAAUCCUUUAUCUGCUGUGGGGAAAAAUGUUAAAUAGGGAAUAAAGUAGUUAUUGACAAACAUCACAGAGAAGCACACGAGAGUAGUGGAUACUUCUCAUACUCAUAGAGAUUUAAGCACAUGCUUAGAGAAUUAUACACAUUUUAUAUAUUACAUAUACUCAUCACACCAACAUACUAUUUACUUUACCUAUACUCCCCAUCUCUACAUGGGAAGAUCUUAUUAAUCUUACCACAUCUCUAUCUCAAACUCAUUCCCUCUUCAUCUUUUUCAGGACAAUCAAAUUAACAUAAGUUGUGAAUCAUUUUGGUCUGGAUAAUUACAAUAACCUCCUAGCCAUUUUUUUUUGAUUUCCCGUUAUUGUAUUUCAUACAGUAUUGCUUCUGAGCAAGAAACUCACUUCAAAACAAAAGAAGUGCAAGAAUGGGCUCAUGCUCAUGGAUUUCACUGAUUUCACCAUGUUCCCCACCAAUCUGAAGCAGCUGGCUUGAUAGAAUGAUGGAAUGUUCUUUUGAAGACUGAAUUACAGCACCAGCUAGGUAAUAAUACCUUUCAGGGCUGGAGCAAGAUUCUCCAGAAGGCUCUGAAUCAGUGUCAUUAUGUGGUACUCUUUCUCUGAUAGCCAGGAUAUAUAGGUCUAGGAGUCAAAGAGUGGAAAUGGGAGUGGCAUCACUUACAAUUACCUUUGGUGACCCACUAGCAAAAUUUUUGGUUCCUGUUUCUGCAGCUUUAAUUUCUGUCAGCCUAGAGGUCUUAGUUCCACAGAAACAAAUGCUUCUACCAGGAGACACAACAAUGAUUUCAUUGUGUUGGAUGUUAAGACUGCCACCUGGCCAUUUUGGGUUCCUCAUGCCUUUGAGUCAACAGGCAAGAAGAAAGAUGUGGUGUUGGCUGGGAUUAUUAAUCCUGAUGACGAAGGGGAAAUUGAACUAAUCCUCCUCAAUAAAGGGAGAAACAGAAAUAAUGAAGGAUGAAAAUUUGGAGAGGCACUGUUUUUAGUAAUAGUCUUACAUAUGAGGUAAGGCUUAAAGUUGCCAAAAUGGAAUCUGGAAAUAAAAAUCCAUCAGCCUUAUGUCUAAAGUAAAUCAUAAUUGUUCUGAAAAUGAUUAACGCUGGGUGACAGCCAAUGCUCCUUUGAUAAAAUAGUACUUAGUCUGAUUCUACAAUUGAGUAGACAGGAAAUGGCUCACCUUUUGGUAAUGAAUUAACUCUUUCAUACAGGGCUAUAGUAAUUCCAAAACAUAGGUUACAAAAAUGGCUCAGAUGCCAGGAAAUUAAACAGAGUUUCCCAGGAUAGCAGACAAUUGUUUGUUUGUUUUUUCUAUUUCAGUCUCACAUUCCUCUAAGUUUUGCUUUUUCUUCUUAUGAGCAUAUUUGGCAAACCAUGUACCUAUUGUUCAAGGAGCUUCCUACAAUUUCUUUGCUGAUUUGACUGCAUCAGAGUAGAAGUUAGUAAAUAACAACAUGACAGUACUAUUCAGUGACUUUUUACUUUGCAAAUUACACAAAAUAUUUUUAAUAACUUUGUAAUAAGGUGGGAUCCAGGCAGAUCAAAUUCUCAUAAUUUGUCAAAGGUAGCCAUUAAAAUUGUAAUAGUUUAUUGGAAUUUCUUGAUUCCUGGAGUGCAAAAAACUAUUAAGCUGAGUCUCUGUCAUCAUAUAGUGUAUUUAAAUGCUUCUUUUAGACAAUUCUUUGCAUUCCACACCACACUUCCUGUAUGCAAUAUUGCCAAGCUCAGGCUCUUUCUUCCCAUGGGCAUAACUUAAAUGCAUCUAGAAAAUGAUUUGAACUGUAGAGUGCAUAUCAUUUUAAACUGGAGAGAAGAAUAAAGCCUUGGAGACAGCACAGUAUGUGGUUGUAGUAGUCCAAGGUAAAAAUGACCUAAGUGUCAACGAGGGAUUUGAAUGCUAGACUAGCGUGGUUAUUAAUGGACAAAUACUCUUUCCUCAACGAAGGAACUGCUUCUAUUCCUUGUGGUUAUGGGAAUAGGAAAUGGAAAGAGACAACACUUUACUGGCAGACACAUUACUGACCCUGCAGAGGCAGCAAGAAAAAUGAGCAGAGAAAGCUUCAGAGAAGAGAGUCCUGCCAAGCAGAAUAAUUGCUGCAAGAAGUACAGGAUUCCUUGGACAUGGUGGUGACUGGGUUGGAUAACCACCUAUCAGAGUAGAAUGGAUCAACCAAAGGGUUGUUGAAUCAAAUCAUCCUAGAAUGUUGAAAUCACUGGGAAAGAAGCAAAGGCAUCCUGAUUCCUGUCAUUUCUGAGUCAUGGGUAUUUGAGGGAGCCAACCUCUCACUGCACUUGGGAUACACAUUGACAGCGAUUUGCUAGCCAUAAAUCUGGCAUGAUCUUGAAUUCAAAUAUUCAUUCUGUAAUCAGAAAAUGUCUUGAUGUUUUGCUUUCAUAAGUAUGGCUAUGAAAAUAAUAUAUUAAUAAAAUGCAGUUUUUAGACCAGUAUAAUUCUUCAAGACAGUGCCUAAAAUAAAUAAAAUGGUUAGGAGGUUUUUAAAUUACAGAUUUUAGCAAAUAUAUUUAAGUUAGAAAAAAACAAAUAUUAAACGUAUGUUUUUAGAUUUAAUAUUUAGUUUAUUUCUCAUCUCAACUUUGCUUACUUAUAACAGUAACCAAAUUUUAUGAAAAAAACAUAUUUGGAACUAGGUUCAAUACAAUCUAAUGCAUAAAAGACAUGAAGGAGAAAUAAAUAGUGGAAGAACAUAAAUAAAAAUAAUUAAAUAAGAAAGCAAGCCAUGCUAUUGCAGGCUAAAUAAUACCUAGAGAUGGUCCCCCCUUAAAAAAGGAUACUUUGUUUUUCCUCCUCUCUCUUUCAUUAUGAUAUAGGGAAUCUAGAGCAUAGUUUACUCUGGAAACAAAGACAAAAUUAAAGGAGUCAGACAGAGGGAAAACCAGUACUCACCUCUGCUACUUUGAACUUGAGAGAUAAGUGGAAAGUUUCUGAAAAAAGAUGACUUUUAUAGAACUGUGUUUUUGAGGUGCUUAAAAUUCUUUCACUAGUGAUGCAUUCUUCCACUUGUGAUAUAUUAUUAAAUUCUAGAACAGAAAUUUAUCAAGGCUUUUUGGGUCCUCAAGAAACAAUUUAUAUAAAUGAAACUGCCCCUGGAAGGAUCAUAACAUAAUCAGCAGACACUUGGCCAGUUUUCUUUAUAAUAAUGUUAGAAAAUCUUUGCUUGCUGGUAAGAAAAAAUAAGAUAGUCUUCUAAGAAGCUGUGACUAAAGGAAAUUAGGUACCUGAAUUGGGAAGAAAUGAAAAUAGAAAGGUAUCAGAGAUGGGCUUUCCCUGGAUCUAUGCCUUUUCUGCAGUUUGCUUCACUCUACGUACAAAGGGGUCCAGCUCUAGCUGUUCUUCCCUAAUGAUAUUAUUGGCAGUCAGCUGAAUGUCUGCACAGAGAAUGUCACAGUCACGGCAGGAUUUUUUCUGUAUUGAAAAAGCAGAAACCAACUUCUUGGCACUCCAUCAGAAGAGAUGUGAUUUCCUAACUAAAGCAGAAUGCUCAAUCAGAACAGUUUUUGGAACUUUUCCCUCUGCCAUGGAACCUGGUGAAUGGUUUGUGUUUUUCCAAAAUUACUUGAAAUUUAGCUGCUAGGAGGCUGUGCCGACCGUUCCAAUUUUUCUUUCAAUUUUGCAUUUUAUUGGAUGCUUCCCUCAAGUCUUCCAGCAUAGUUCAGUCAUUAGUCAGAGCUGGAAGAUUUAUUAUUUACUUUGACAGUCACCAGCCUAUUUUGUCAAACCAUACACAUUACUGCUCCAUUUGACAGGUGUUACUCUUAAAAUCCUUCAGUUUAUUUUCCCCCUUUGUGUGAGGCUUCUAUGUCUACUGUCUUGUUUACUUUCCCAAAGGAAGCACAAUAUGUUUUCUGGUUGAUAAAAGCUUGGUUUUGUUGCUACUUUUCAGUGACAGAUUAAGCAGCCAUUGGUCAAAAACUUUUUUCUUGAUUUAAUCUAAAUUUUGGUGACGUGCUUACACUAGGAACCAUUAGGAAAUAAAAUAAAACAAAAGAAAGAAUAGUGAAUUCAGUGUAAGUAGAGGCAGAAAAACAUUGCCAUUUUACCUGCAAUGUACAUAUUGCAGGGUAUAUCAAAGUUAGAAUUUCUUUACUCUAAAAGAGCUCUAAGGUUAAUGUAUAUUACAAACUGUCAUAUAAGAAAAUACAGGGAGCUAUGAUGACAUAGAAGAGAGCACUACCCAGAUUAGAAAAGUCAGGUAGGUCUUCCUGGAGAAGAUGACAGCUAAAUUGAUUUGUAAAGAUAAAUAGUAAUGCAGAGAAAAGGAGAUGACAGGAUGGGCAUUCUAUGUGGAUGCCAAUAUAGGAAGGAUGGUGAAUUUGAUUUGAAUAUAUUGCUUAUAACAUAUCACGAAAACAUUUGUAGAUAUAUAUAUGUAUAUUUUUUUCUGAUGUUUGUGACUCAUCUCUGUUACCCAUUUAGUUAUCUAACUUCCUUUUCUGCUUGAAUGUUAUCUCUUCAGGAAGCCUUCUCUGACCACCCAAUGUAAAUACUUCUUUACCACUUCCUUGGUAGCUCUUCAUCUUUAAGCCUUGCUUCAUGUUUUUCUUUUCUUUCCUUUUUUUUAUUUUGUUUGUUUGUUUUUUUUUUUUUUUGAGAUGGACUCUUGCUCUGUCACCAGGCUGGAGUGGUGCAGUGGUGCGAUCUCGGUUCACUGUGACCUCCACUUCCCAGGGUCAAGCAAUUCUCCUGCCUCAGCCUCCCGAGUAGCUGGGAUUACAGGCACGUGCCACCAUGCCCAGCUAAUUUUUCUAUUUUUAGUAGAGAUGGGGUUUCACCAUGUUGGUCAGGCUGGUCUCGAUCUCGUGACCUCGUGAUCCACCUGCCUCGGCCUCUCAAAGUGCUGGGAUUACAGGCAUGAGCCACCGUGCCUGGCCCUUUUCUUUUCUUUUCUUUUCUUUUCUUUUCUUUUCUUUUCUUUUCUUUUCUUCUUUUCUUUUCUUUUCUUUUCUUUCUUUCCUUUUGAGACAGAGUCUUGCUCUGUGGCCAGGCUGGUGUGCAGUGGCAUGAUCUUGGCUCACUUUAACCUCCUACGUCUCCCAGGUUCGAGCGAUUCUCCUGCCUCAGCCUCCCAAGUAGCUGGGACUACAGGCACAUGCCACCACGCCCAGCUAAUUUUUGUAGUUUUAUUAGAGACGUGGUUUCACCACGUUGGCCAGGAUGGUCUUGAUCUCUUGAUCUCGUGAUCCGCCGCCUCGGCCUCCCAAGUGCUGGGAUUACAAGCGUGAGCCACUGUCCCCAGCCUGCUUUAUGUUUCUUAUGGGAAUGUUUCAUUGUCUGUCAGGAAGGAAAACAAAUAUUUAAUAAAUUAAUUGUUGUUAGUCCCCUUCUGUUUCUUAGCUAUACUGUGCAACACACUACUUUAAUACUUAGUGGCUUAAAAUGCAACCAGCUUAUUAGUCAUGAUUCUGUUUUCCAAGAAUGAGAGCAAGGCUUGUCAGGGAUGGCUCGUCUGUGCUCUGUGAUCUUGGCUGCAUUCACUCAUUCAGGUGAUAGUUGGGGUAGAGGAUCAAAGGUGACCUUACUCACAUGUCAGGAACCAUGGUGCUGGGCUGCUGCUGGGGUCCUUUUAUUCACAUGGCCACUUUCUCCAAGUGGAUAGCCUAGACUUCUUUUCUAGAAGCCUUAGGAUAGCAAAAGAAUGAAAUAAUCAGCGGCUAUGUCUCUUAAAGUCUAGGCCCUGAACAAGGACAAUUUCACUUCCACCACAUGGUUAAAUCAAAUCUAAAGUCAAUCCAGAUUGAAGGAGAAGAUAAAUAAAUUCCGUUUUUUUUUUUAACAUGAGGAGUAGCAUGUACCUACAGGCAAGGGAGGGAUUGUUACAGCCAUUUUUGCUAGCUAUUCCCCAUACUCUCUAGAAUUCAAACUGCUCAAGGACAUAAUCUAGUUGUUUGGAAUCAAGAAUAUAGUUGCUCAUUUAUUGACUUUUCAUCGUGUCCACAUUGAAGGACAAUUAAGUACCAUAUUCACAUCUCCAGUCCUGAUUUAUUUUUUACUGUGACAGGUUCUUGCUCUGUCUCUCAGGCUGGAGUGCAGUGGCACAAUCCUGACUCACUGCAACUUCAACCUCCUAGGCUCAAGCCAUCCUUCACCACAACCUCCCAAGAAGCUGGGAAGCUGAGAGAGAAUACAGGCGUGUGCCACCAUACUUGGCUAAUUUAAAUUCUUUUUCUUUUUUUCUUUUCUUUUCUUUUCUUUUUUUUUUCUUUUUUUCUUUUUUUUUUUUUUUUGAGAGACAGGGUCUCACUGUGUUGCCUAGGCUGGUCUCAAAUUCUUGGGUUCAAGUGAUUCUCCCACCUUGGUCUCUCAAAGUACUGGAACUACAUGCAUGAGCCACCGUGGUUGGCCCUCAAUAUAUUUUUAAAUUGGAAUUUUAAAAAAUGGUCUCUGUUUAUUGGACAUUUAUAUUUAUAUGCCCUAGCAUUGCUUCAGAAACAAUAACAAUAAAUUCAUCUUUCCUCCUAUUUUAUUUUUUUCUCCCAAUUUUUCUACUCUGUAAAUGGUAUUCUUUAAGACUUAUAUCAUCACCAAGGAUUUAAAAUGUGAAGUUACUUUUCUCUCUCUCUCUCUCUGUCUCUCUCUGUCUCUUGUUUUUGCAAUCAGAUGGACCCAAAAUCAUAUUUGAAAAUUGGUUCUACUAUGUACUGACAAUGUGGAAUUGAGCAAAUCACUUAACCUUUCUGAUCCUGUUUAUUCUUCAUUUAAAAUUGAUAUGAUAUCCUCAUCUCAGGGUUGUUUCAGAAAUUAGUUAAAAGAAAACUUUGUAGACAGCCUGAAUAAGAUAUUAAGCACUCACUAAAUGUAAAUUUCCAACUUUAGAAAGUUUUUUCUAGUGAUUAUAUUAUCCAUGUGCUAUUAUUAACAUUUUAUGUAUAUACUAUGUUUUUACAACAAAAGAGUAAACUCCUUGAAGACAAUGACUCCAGAAUUCUUAGGGUAGGGUCCUACAUACUUAGAAUUUGGAGCAUGAUAAGCUCUGUCAAAUGAGUCACACUAACAUCAAUUAAAAAGCAUGAACACCAUUUUGUGGGGGAGAGUAAACAUAAACUCACUGCUUUGUUGAAAAUUAGGCAAUGUAUAUUGUCAUUUUUAUCGUUGUUAGUUUGCAUUCUACAUUAUGCUGUGUUCUCUAUAAAGCAAAUUCUGUUUUAAAAGAAAAGUCUGUAAGGAAAUAAGAGGCCUGGUGUAAAGGGAACUACUGAUUUUGACAGUCAGAGGGGAGUUUUUAAGACCUACUACCAGAUGUUGGAGUGAUUUUGGUAAUCACAUCCCUUUUAGUUUUGCAUGAAGAUCUUUAUACCUCCUUUUUAAAAGUUCAAUAAUAUUGCAGCAAUACAUUUUUUAAGCAAAUAUAUUUUAGAGACCAAAUGUUUUUUUUUCUCUCUGAAAUAUGAUUAUUUCAAUUACUAGUAGCAACAAUUAAUCACUGACUGAUUCAUCAGCCUGCAGCUGGGAUUAUAGAGCUGACUUCCUUUUUUUAUUCCUGUUCUACUCUGCUCAGCAGGGAUUGAGUGAUAGCAAACUAAUAACCUUUCCCUACCCUUAGUACUUUUUCUUAAUACUAUCAAAGAAGAAAAUUUUAAAUAUUUUCCCAAAGUUCAUUUUUACCCCACACAACUCAUUUUUGUUAAGCUUUACUAAGAUAUACUUGACAAAUAUUUUAUAUAUGUAUAUAACAAUGUAAUGUUUUGAUAUACAUAUACAUUAUCAAAUAAUUUCCAUAAUCAAGCUAAUUAACAUAUCCAUCUACUUAUGAUGUAGUGAAUUUCAAGUAUACAUUACUAUUAACCUUAGUCAUCAUGCUGUACAUUAGGAUCCAGAAAUCAUUUAUCUUAUCAUUGCAAUUGUAUACUUUUUGUAACUGUAUAUCCCCAUUAUCCCCAUUUCCCCCACCUCAAUCACCAUUUUGCAAUUAUAUAUCCCCAAUAUAUUCCCAUUUCCCCCACCUGAAUCCCUGGUACCCAACCUUCUACUCUGUUUUUAUAAGUUCAACUUUUUUAGAUUCCACAUAUAAGUGAAAUCAUGCAGUAUUUGUUUUUCUGUGUCUAACGUAUUUCACUUAGCAUAAUGUCUUCCAGGUUCAUCCAUGUUGUUGCAAAUGACAGAAUUUCUUUCUCUUUCAAUGCUGAGUAAUAUUUCAUUGUAUGUAUAUAUUUUGUACAUAUACACACACACACUAAAAUGUCUUCAUUCAUUAAUUGACGGACACUUAGGUCAUUAUCAUAUCUUGGCUAUUGUAAACAAUGCUGCAAGAAACAUGAGCAAGCAGAGAUCUCUUUCAGAUAGUGAUUUUAUUUCCUCUGAGUAUAUGCACAGAAUUGCUGGGUCAUGUGGUAUUUCUACCUUUAUUUUUUUGAAAAACCUCCAUACUGUUUUGCAUAAUGUUUUUACUAGUGUAUAUUCCUCUCAAUAAUAUAUGAGUUUCCUUUUCUCCACAUUCUCACUGUACUUAUCUUUUGACUUUUCAGUAAUAGCCAUUGGCAGUGGAGCAAGAUGGUGGAACAGAAGCUUACAACCUUUAUCUCCCUGUAGGAACACAAAAUUCUAACAACUAUCUAAACAGUAAAGUCACAAGAACUAAAAAUCAGUCACUACUAUGGCAAGAUCAAGACUGGAUCUAGGAGAUCUCGGUUCAAUAUGGAGAUUAUCCAGAGAUUCUACUGUUGGAGCCAGAUGCUAUAACUGAAGAGGGUUAAAACUGUCUCCUUUUGGGACACCGAAACAUAGAAGCCUGCCCGGGAAGAGCAGGGUAGAACUUAUAUUCUCUUUGUUCAGCUUCCCAGAGGAAUAAGAAGGCCAGAGUGAAGCCAGGAUAGGAAGAAACAUGAAGCGAUGAAACAUACUGAACAAUUCCAUGUUUAUGGAAAAAAAUUCUGGUAAUGAACUUACUUCACACCAAAGAGACAAGGAGUAGCAUCAUUACCUCAAGCAAUAUUGCCAGAGAAAAUCUUGACACAGAGAAGACAAGCUCAGUGCUUAAUGUGAAAAUUUAUCUGCACAUACAGAACCAGUCCAUAAUACAGCACUGUUCACCAUGGUGAAGACAUGGAAUCAACCAAGGUGAUUAUCAAAAGGGAAGAGGAAUGGAUUAAAAAAUAUAUGGUAGAUAUAGACCAUGGAAUCCUAUGCUGCCGUAAAAGAGAACAAAAUCAUGUCCUUUGAGGCAACAGCAUGGAUGCAGCUGGAAGCCGUUAUCCUAAGUGAAUUAACAGAGGAACAGUAAACCAAACACCACACGGUCUUACUUAAAAGUGGGAGCUAAACAUUGGGUACUCAUGGACAUAAAGAUGCCUCAAUAGAUUACGAGGACAAACAGGAUUAAAAAACAUGCGUACUAUCCUCACCAUGUGGGACACAGGAUCAUUUUUACCCCAAACCUCAACAUCAUGCAAUAUACCCAUGUAACAAGCCUGUACAUGUACCUCCUGAAUCUACAAAAAAAAUGACUUUUUUUUUAAGAAUUUGCUGCAAUCUUGGAAAAAUUCUUCUUCAAAGUCUUCUAAAAGCAUUUUAACUUUUUAUUUACAUUUGGAAAUUCAAGCCAUCUAAAAUGAAAUCUAGCAUAUGGUCUGACAUAGGUGCCAACAUUAUUUUUAUAUACAUAUCCAGUUAAGGUGGCAUUAUUUAUUGAGAAGAUGAAGCUUCCUCUAUGGCUCUACAGUUUCUCCUUUGUCAUAGAUUAGUUUUCUCCAUUUUUGUGGGUUUGUUUGUAAACCCUGUAUUCUGUUCCACUGGUCUAUUUAUCAAUCCUUGUUUCAAUCCACACUGUUUAUAGUAAAGUGUUAUAAGAUGAUUUUUAGCUAUUAGUAUAAAAUUGCUGAUUUGCAAUUAUUCGAGACUGACUUUAUUAUUUCCUGCUUUGCAUUUCUACAUAUCUUUUAGAAUCAGCUUGUCAUUUCCCAUCCCCUUCAAAAAACACUACCAUUUUUAUUGGGAUUAUGUUGCAUCUAUAUAUACGAGAGAAUUGUCUUCUAAUUCAUAAAUAUAGCAUAUCCCAAUUUAUUUUAUUUGUUCUAAUAUCUCUUAACAAUGGUUUAUUUUCUACUUGAAGUUUCCACAGCCUUCAUUAGAUCCAUGCCAUUAUAAAUGGUAUCAUUAAAAACAAACAAACAAAAAAUUUACUUUCCGUUUGUUGCUAGUAUAUGUAACUACAAUUUAUUUUUAUACUAGCUUCAUGUCCAGUCCAGUGAUCAUCUCAAUUAACUAAUCCCAAUAAUUUGAGGUAUAUAUUUUUUUGAAUUUUCUAUGAAAAAAAAUCAUGUCUGCACAUAAGUUGAUUUUUAUUUCUGCAAUAUAAUUAUUUGGCUUAUUGUACUGGCUAGGCUUUGCCAGAUAAUUAUUAAUGGGUCAUAGGAGAUAUCCUUAUCUCAUUACAGAAGUCAUACAUCUUUCAUUAUUUCAUCAUUAAAUCUGAUAAUUCUUUCCAUUUUUAAAAUAAAUGCCUUGUUUCAGACUAAGAAAACUCUAUUUUAUUUCUAGUUUUCUGUUAUUUAAUAUUACAAAUGGGAUUUGAGAUGAUUAUUAUAAUUCUCUUUUUUGUUAAUUUAGAAAAUUGUAUUAAUUGAUCUAAAAAUUUUAAGCCACCCCUGAAGUCCUGAAAUAAAUUCAUUUUUAAAAUUUAUACAUUGUAUUUUAUUAAUUGAUAAUUUUUCUUGAUAAUAUUUUGUUUAUCAUUGUACUUAGUGAUGAAAUAAUUAUUUUUUAGGAUGUUGGUAUCAAGGUUAUGCUGGACUCAUAAAAAGAAUGUGGCAUAUUCUCAGUUUAUAAAAGUGGCUAUUUAGGACUGGUAUAAUUUAUUAUUUGUUUAAAGGUUUGAGUACAGAGUUUCUUCUGGAUAUGGAGUUUUAUCCAGAUAAUUAUUUUAAUUAGAUUCAAUUCUAAUAGGUUUUUAAAUUCAAUUCUAAUUAGAUUUUUUAUUUCUUCUAUCAGUUUUGAAAAUCUGUUUUUCUAAGAAUUUUAUUUAUUUUUUUCUAUUUAUUGGCAUAAAUUUGUUUAUAAUAUUCUGAUUUUUUUGAUUAUGUAUUCCCACAAUCACCCUGUGAAAUAAACUACCUUAAGAUUUACUGGCUUAAAACAAUAUAUACUGCUUUGUGUGGAUGGAUUUGAUUUUUUUGUUUUGUUUUGUUUUGUUUUGUUUUUUGGUCUGGUGAGCUACAUAAAUUCAUUAAUUUUAGUUUAAAUGUAGAUUUGUUUGGGAUUUUCUGUGUGAAGACAUCAUGUUAUGUGCAAAUAGUGAGAAUUUUGGUUCUGCCUUUUCACUAUUACAUGUUUACUUAUUUGUUUAUUUAAUUUGUUUUUAUUGGAAUUGCACUUUCUGCUUGGCAACAUGGCACAGUUCUUGUAGUCUGAGCUGGGCUUGGAGGGAUCACUUACGCAGCAGCAGUCAAUUGUGUUAAGCUGAGCAGCUCUGCUUUUCUUGGCUGGGCCCUCUUACAUGUCUGGAGCCUCAGCUAUGCCUUUAUGGCUCAAAUGGUUUUGCUUCACAUGGUUUCUCAUCCAUUUGGACCAACUUGAGCUUGUUCGUAAGGAGAAAGUAGGGGCUCAACAGAAAGAGGGAGAGAGAUUAGAAGCAUGGAAGGCCUUUUGAGACCUUUGCUUAGAACUCGCACAUCAACAUUUUACACCACAUUUUGUCGGUCAAGAAAACUACAAGACCUACUUCAAAGGAUGUGGAAGUAGAAUCAACCUCUCUAUAGGAGGACCUGCAAAGUCACAUUGUGAAAGAAAAGACAGAGGGAAAAAGCAUAGAAGCCAUUUUUGCAGUCAAU